UCCUUUUCUCCUUAUUGCAGAAGGGAAUAAUUUUUUCACGGAUGAUGAUGAUGAUGGUAUAACAAUUCCGCCGAAUCCUUCUGUUACAACACUGCCAGCAACCACAGAUGACGAAGAAGCAUAUGAUGAUGCUACUGAAGGCAGCAUAAGUGUGGAAACAACCACACAAGUUCAUCAAGAAAAUGUGGAUCAUGGUACUAAAGGCAGCAUAAGUGUGGA